rnacentral:rRNA from 1 species
UGGGGAAUUUUGGACAAUGGGCGAAAGCCUGAUCCAGCAAUGCCGCGUGUGUGAAGAAGGCCUUCGGGUUGUAAAGCACUUUUGUCCGGAAAGAAAUCCUUGGCUUCUAAUACAGAUCGGGGGAUGACGGUACCGGAAGAAUAAGCACCGGCUAACUACGUGCCAGCAGCCGCGGUAAUACGUAGGGUGCAAGCGUUAAUCGGAAUUACUGGGCGUAAAGCGUGCGCAGGCGGUUUGCUAAGACCGAUGUGAAAUCCCCGGGCUCAACCUGGGAACUGCAUUGGUGACUGGCAGGCUAGAGUAUGGCAGAGGGGGGUAGAAUUCCACGUGUGAGCAGUGAAAUGCGUAGAGAUGUGGAGGAAUACCGAUGGCGAAGGCAGCCCCCUGGGCCAAUACUGACGCUCAUGCACGAAAAGCGUGGGGAGCAAAAC